UUAAAAAUUAUGAUUAAAACAUUUAAAAAUUAUAUUUAACAAAAUUUUCCUGCUAUAUUUCUGUGAUAUUCGAAGUGAAAUACCGGCAUCGACACAAACUGAUUCAAGAAUCAUGGAAAUCUGUCCCCCUGAACCACUUAAACGAACGCCGCAACAGUCGAUUAUCGAGGCAAAAAAUAAACUUCGGCUCGGUCACGAUGAAUGUUGCAAUUGCUGCUGUUGUUGUAUACCACAACCUACAUGCUAC